rnacentral:rRNA from 1 species
AGGAUGAACGCUGGCGGCGUGCCUAAGGUAUGCAAGUCGAGCGGUAAGGUUUCUCACUUUUUUCAUGUCUCAUGCAAUUUAUUGUGUGAUCCAGAGAUGUAAAGAGUGAGGAAUACACGAGCGGCGGACGGCUGAGUAACGCGUAGGAACGUACCCCAAACUGAGGGAUAAGCACCGGAAACGGUGUCUAAUACCGCAUAAUCUCUUAGGAGGAAAGCCUUCGGGCGGUUUGGGAGCGGCCUGCGUCCGAUUAGGUAGUUGGUGAGGUAAAAGCUCACCAAGCCGACGAUCGGUAGCUGGUCUGAGAGGAUGAUCAGCCAGAUUGGGACUGAGACACGGCCCAAACCCCUACGGGGGGCAGCAACUGGGAAUUUUUCACAAUGGACGAAAGUCUGAUGGAGCAACGCCGCGUGCAGGAGGAAGGUCUUCGGAUUGUAAACUGUCUUUUAUCUGUGAAGAUAAUGACUGUAACAGAUGAAGUAGGGUCUGACUAACUACGUG